GUCACCACCACCACCACCACCACUAACAUUCUCGACAAACCAACAUCGCCACAACAACUACUGCAAUUGAGGGAAUCCAUUGAUGGGUUGAGGAAGAGAAGACUGCGAGGAGGAGGAGGAGGAGGAGGAGGAGGAGGAGGAGGAGGAGGAGGAAGAGGAGGAGGAGGAGGAAGAGAAAACAUUGCUGAAGAUUUUAAUGUUUUUGCAUUCUUUGGACUAGUGGAAGAUAUGCAAGCCCUCUUCCACCACCACCACCACCACCACCACCACAGUAGUAGUAGCGGUAGUCUGAGUGGAGUGUGGUGGAGUGUAGUGGAAGGAGGGAGAGUGGAUGGAAUAGUAAUAGACAAGAAUGGUAUACUAUUUCAAGACGUGGCAACGCUGGAGCCCUCAGACACGUUCGGAUACAGACCUACACACGCAGGAGGCAUUGUGGUGGGGGUGCAGGGGGUAGGGGGCAGCAGGGGCCUCCUCUCCCCCUCCUCUUCUCCCCCUCCUCCACCCUGCCCUUCCCCACCACCCUUGUGAACCUAGCAGUUAGGGAAGUGGGGGUCAAGGCCACGUGUGAGGACUGUGAGGAUGACCCUGUGGAACAACAACAACAACAACAACAACCACGAAGAAUAAUAACAAUGGUGGCAGCAGUGGGAUUCGGGAAAGCAAGAGGAGGAGGAGGAGGAGGAGGAGGAAGCAAGAGGAAGAGGAGGAGGGCAGGCCACCCCUUCUUCCGACUCUUUUUACAGAGGCUGACACACCUGUCCAAACCUGCCACUGCAAACCUGACUACACACCUCAUUGUUUACGUGUCCUCGGCCACACCUGACAGAUAUGUGAGAGAGGCGAAUUGGGCUGUUAAGAGGCGGUGCAGUACUUACGACAGCUGCGCCCUCAUUGGUCCAAACCUUAACGACUCGGACACUUUAACAAUGCUUAGACGCAAGAUUCAAGAGAAGAACCCUGACCACCUCUUCCUCUUGGACCCAGCCGCCCACCUCACCCACGCCCACGCCCUCACCCACUUACUGAACAAAAGGAGGAAUGUGGUCGGUCCGGUCCUAACUUCGCCAGAUGGACAGACACACAAUCUAUUCAACAACAACAACAACAACAACAACAACAACAACAACAACAACAACAACAACAACAACAACAACAACAACAACAACAACUUAUUGGGAGCUUUCGCCUCCAGAUACAAGGAAGAAGGGCCACCCCCUCUGGACAUGGUGGGGCUGCUGCAGGUGGGGGGCUGCGGGGGGCUGUCCUCCUGACCAGACGCGCAUUGGAAGGCCUUGACCUCCCCUCCCUCACUGGUGACCUGACCCCGGAAGUGACCUGCAAGAUACUAGCUGGAAGGGGCUUCAUCCCAUAUGCCAGCAACCAGGUGCAUUAUGGGAAGCUUGUGGAGGAGGAGGAAGAGGAGGAGGAGGAGGAGGAGGAGGAGGAGGAGGAGGAGG